rnacentral:rRNA from 1 species
UGGGGGGUACGAGAGGGCCGCUACCACGCGAGUGGAUGCCAAUCCCCAAAACCUCUCUCAGUUCGGACUGGAGUCUGCAACCCGACUCCACGAAGCUGGAUUCGCUAGUAAUCGCGCAUCAGCCACGGCGCGGUGAAUACGUUCCCGGGCCUUGUACACACCGCCCGUCAAGCCAUGGGAGCCGGGGGUACCUGAAGUGCGUAACCGCGAGGAGCGCCCUAGGGUAAAACUGGUGACUGGGGCUAAGUCGUAACAAGGUACC